AACGUAGGUGGCGAGCGUUAUCCGGAUUUACUGGGCGUAAAGGGCGCGUAGGCGGCCACCGCAAGUCGAUUGUGAAAUCUCCGGGCUUAACCCGGAAAGGUCAACCGAUACUGCGGGGCUAGAGUGCAGAAGGGGCAACUGGAAUUCUCGGUGUAGCGGUGAAAUGCGUAGAUAUCGAGAGGAACACCUGCGGCGAAGGCGGGUUGCUGGGCUGACACUGACGCUGAAGUGCGAAAGCUAGGGGAGCGAACGGG
rnacentral:rRNA from 1 species